rnacentral:rRNA from 1 species
UUUGGUGAUUCAUGAUAACUUAAACGGAUCGCAUGGCCCUUGCGCCGGGCGACGGGUUCAUUCAAAUUUCUGCCCUAUCAACUUUCGAUGGUAAGGUAUUGGCUUACCAUGGUUUCAACGGGUAACGGGGAAUUAGGGUUCGAUUCCGGAGAGGGAGCUGAGAAACGGCUACCACAUCCAAGGAAGGCAGCAGGCGCGCAAAUUACCCCAAUCCCGACACGGGGAGGUAGUGACAAUAAAUACUGAUACAGGGCUCUUUUGGGUCUUGUAAUCGGAAUGAGUACAAUUUAAACCUCUUAACGAGGAACAAUUGGAGGGCAAGUCUGGUGCCAGCAGCCGCGGUAAUUCCAGCUCCAAUAGCGUAUAUUAAAGUUGUUGCAGUUAAAAAGCUCGUAGUUGAACCUUGGGCCUGGCUGGCUGGUCCGCCUCACCGCGUGUACUGGUCCGGCCGGGCCUUUCCUUCUGGAGAUCCCCAUGCCCUUUACUGGGUGUGUGGGGGAACCAGGACUUUUACUUUGAAAAAAUUAGAGUGUUCAAAGCAGGCCUUUGCUCGAAUACGUUAGCAUGGAAUAAUAGAAUAGGACGUGCGGUCCUAUUUUGUUGGUUUCUAGGAUCGCCGUAAUGAUUAAUAGGGAUAGUCGGGGGCAUCAGUAUUCAAUUGUCAGAGGUGAAAUUCUUGGAUUUAUUGAAGACUAACUACUGCGAAAGCAUUUGCCAAGGAUGUUUUCAUUAAUCAGUGAACGAAAGUUAGGGGAUCGAAGACGA